UGGGGAAUAUUGGACAAUGGGCGGAAGCCUGAUCCAGCAACGCCGCGUGAGGGAUGACGGCCUUCGGGUUGUAAACCUCUUUCAGUACCGACGAAGCGCAAGUGACGGUAGGUACAGAAGAAGCACCGGCCAACUACGUGCCAGCAGCCGCGGUAAUACGUAGGGUGCGAGCGUUGUCCGGAAUUAUUGGGCGUAAAGGGCUCGUAGGCGGUUUGUCGCGUCGGGAGUGAAAACGCCGUGCUUAACACGGCGCUUGCCUUCGAUACGGGCAGACUAGAGGUAUGCAGGGGAGAACGGAAUUCCUGGUGUAGCGGUGAAAUGCGCAGAUAUCAGGAGGAACACCGGUGGCGAAGGCGGUUCUCUGGGCAUGACCUGACGCUGAGGAGCGAAAGUGUGGGGAGCGAACAGGAUUAGAUACCCUGGUAGUCCACACCGUAAACGUUGGGCGCUAGGUGUGGGGUCCAUUCCACGGAUUCCGUGCCGCAGCUAACGCAUUAAGCGCCC
rnacentral:rRNA from 1 species